CAGACGAAUAGAUAAAUUGUACAAUAAAGUUGUAAAAGUAAAAAGGAAAACGGCAAUUUGAUGAAGAAUGGGACGAGUCAACCCGAAAUGCCUCCGCCUCCAGCCGUAAUUAAGACUGUAAUUUACCUAAAAUAUUUCUCAGUAGUAGUCAAUAUUAGAUAAACACAGCACUGGUGCUUAUGGACAGGCGCCUGUGGUGAAAACUUCUCGACAGCGCAUCUGAAUCGGGUAGAUACCAGCCGGGAGCCAGGAAUGUCUGAUUUAUCAGCCCCCGAGAGCUCACUGCUGAGAACAUUCUACUUGUUUAUUCGUGUUUUGUAUCAAAAUACUACUACUUAUGGUUACCAUUCUGACGUCAUAGAUUUGGCGCUAUAGCAAAAGGAGGAACAAAACGGGCGAAGAUGUUAUUUGGAUAACUUCAAUGUAGAUGGAAGGUGGAUGACUGGACGGAGAAAUUGCGGGAUAAUUCAUACCUUUUAAAGAAAAAUUGACCUUACAUUUAUUCUAUGUUAAUAAUUCAUUUAUCGAUUUUAGAAAAUAAAACUGCUUCAUCGAA